rnacentral:rRNA from 1 species
CGUAGGGUGCGAGCGUUAAUCGGAAUUACUGGGCGUAAAGCGUGCGCAGGCGGUUAUGUAAGACAGAUGUGAAAUCCCCGGGCUUAACCUGGGAACUGCAUUUGUGACUGCAUAGCUAGAGUACGGUAGAGGGGGAUGGAAUUCCGCGUGUAGCAGUGAAAUGCGUAGAUAUGCGGAGGGACACCGAUGGCGAAGGCAAUCCCCUGGACCUGUACUGACGCUCAUGCACGAAAGCGUGGGGAGCAAACAGGAUUAGAUACCCUGGUAGUCCACGCCCUAAACGAUGCCAACUGGUUGUUGGGUCUUCACUGACUCAGUAACGAAGCUAACGCGUGAAGUUGACCGCCUGGGGAGUACGGCCGCAAGGUUG